CCAGCGGUUAGGCCGGGAACUCAAAGGAGACUGCCAGUGAUAAACUGGAGGAAGGUGGGGAUGACGUCAAGUCAUCAUGGCCCUUACGAGUAGGGCUACACACGUGCUACAAUGGCGCAUACAAAGAGAAGCGACCUCGCGAGAGCAAGCGGACCUCAUAAAGUGCGUCGUAGUCCGGAUUGGAGUCUGCAACUCGACUCCAUGAAGUCGGAAUCGCUAGUAAUCGUGGAUCAGAAUGCCACGGUGAAUACGUUCCCGGGCCUUGUACACACCGCCCGUCACACCAUGGGAGUGGGUUGCAAAAGAAGUAGGUAGCUUAACCUUCGGGAGGGCGCUUACCACUUUGUGAUUCAUGACUGGGGUGAAGUCGUAACAAGGUAACCGUAGGGGAACCUGCGGUUGGAUCACCUCCUU
rnacentral:rRNA from 1 species